CCGCCAUCGUGGUGCCCGGCAUCAGCAUCCUGCAGGCGCAGAUCGACUUGCGCUACCAAGAUGGCGGCAAAGGACGCAGCUUCUCCCGCCUGCAGGGCUCGGCCUGCCCGCCGGGACCGCCUCGCAUCGCCUUCGCCGACGACUCGCAGCUGGACCCGCACAAGUACCUCCGCCUGCACCGG